rnacentral:tRNA from 1 species
AGGGAAAUAGCUCAAUGGUAGAGCACAUGCUUAGCAUGCACAAGGUCCUGGGUUCAAUCCCCGGUACCUCCA